ensembl:lncRNA LINC01719 long intergenic non-protein coding RNA 1719
CGGCAAGGGGAAGUGACGUCUGCCUCUCCCUUUUUUCUCUCCUGCUUCCCUCAUCUGUUCUCUUCCAAAGAAGCUGGUCCUUAGCCUGUAUUGCGGAGCAAGCUUUCGGCGACCAGCUGGACCCUGGGCACCCUUCUUCGAACAAUGGCUUUUAAUUCUCAGACUAGAACGUUUAGGAUUACAAAAGAAACUGGUUCUUUUCACAUUCUUAUUCUUGUGAUGUAGCAUUCCGCAUAUAUAUAUAUAUAUAUAUAUAUAUAUAUAUAUAUAUGUAUCCAACUAUCCUAAAAGACACUACCCUUCAUCAUUCCAUGCCAUUAGACAUGUAUAGGACCAUGCAUGGUGAUCUCCUCCAGACAAAAGUAAAUGCUGGUGCAGAACAGGAUUUGAGUUUGAUGUCUUGCAUACAAUGUGAUCCCACUGUAUGACUACACAAAUGUUGGCAAAAGUGAGUUCAGAGGAAAUGGUAGGCAAGUACUUCCCAGUUUUGGCCAGAAGAUGGAGAAAAAAGAAUUCUCAAAAAAUGUUAAAGGAAUUUCCAGUAUUCCAAAUAUGAGAAGCUGAGAAAACAAACAACAAACUCAAAACCCUAAAAACCGGAUACGUAAGGGUAGAUGUUUGUUGGGUGUGGAUUAAAAAUGGACUUUUUUUGCCCCAAGCAACAAAGAGGCACCUUAGAAAAUAGACAAGAGACAAGAAGAAGAGAAGCUUUAAGAGAUAUUUGGUCCAAGGAAGAGACUCUUCAGAUGGAAGGUCACGUCAGCUAGAAACAUUAAUAUGACUGGAUGGGCUCAAACCACUGACUUUUCAGUCAACAUCUGACAGCACUAACCCAGUGUUCCAGAGACACUGCUUGUUAAACAGUGAAUGCUGUUGCUCAAUUGUGUCAUCCG